rnacentral:rRNA from 1 species
GCUUAACACAUGCAAGUCGAGGGGCAGCAUGGUCUUAGCUUGCUAAGGCCGAUGGCGACCGGCGCACGGGUGAGUAACACGUAUCCAACCUGCCGUCUACUCUUGGACAGCCUUCUGAAAGGAAGAUUAAUACAAGAUGGCAUCAUGAGUCCGCAUGUUCACAUGAUUAAAGGUAUUCCGGUAGACGAUGGGGAUGCGUUCCAUUAGAUAGUAGGCGGGGUAACGGCCCACCUAGUCUUCGAUGGAUAGGGGUUCUGAGAGGAAGGUCCCCCACAUUGGAACUGAGACACGGUCCAAACUCCUACGGGAGGCAGCAGUGAGGAAUAUUGGUCAAUGGGCGAGAGCCUGAACCAGCCAAGUAGCGUGAAGGAUGACUGCCCUAUGGGUUGUAAACUUCUUUUAUAAAGGAAUAAAGUCGGGUAUGCAUACCCGUUUGCAUGUACUUUAUGAAUAAGGAUCGGCUAACUCCGUGCCAGCAGCCGCGGUAAUACGGAGGAUCCGAGCGUUAUCCGGAUUUAUUGGGUUUAAAGGGAGCGUAGAUGGAUGUUUAAGUCAGUUGUGAAAGUUUGCGGCUCAACCGUAAAAUUGCAGUUGAUACUGGAUAUCUUGAGUGCAGUUGAGGCAGGCGGAAUUCGUGGUGUAGCGGUGAAAUGCUUAGAUAUCACGAAGAACUCCGAUUGCGAAGGCAGCCUGCUAAGCUGCAACUGACAUUGAGGCUCGAAAGUGUGGGUAUCAAACAGGAUUAGAUACCCUGGUAGUCCACACGGUAAACGAUGAAUACUCGCUGUUUGCGAUAUACAGCAAGCGGCCAAGCGAAAGCGUUAAGUAUUCCACCUGGGGAGUACGCCGGCAACGGUGAAACUCAAAGGAAUUGACGGGGGCCCGCACAAGCGGAGGAACAUGUGGUUUAAUUCGAUGAUACGCGAGGAACCUUACCCGGGCUUAAAUUGCAGAUGAAUUACGGUGAAAGCCGUAAGCCGCAAGGCAUCUGUGAAGGUGCUGCAUGGUUGUCGUCAGCUCGUGCCGUGAGGUGUCGGCUUAAGUGCCAUAACGAGCGCAACCCUUGUUGUCAGUUACUAACAGGUUCCGCUGAGGACUCUGACAAGACUGCCAUCGUAAGAUGUGAGGAAGGUGGGGAUGACGUCAAAUCAGCACGGCCCUUACGUCCGGGGCUACACACGUGUUACAAUGGGGGGUACAGAGGGCCGCUACCACGCGAGUGGAUGCCAAUCCCAAAAACCUCUCUCAGUUCGGACUGGAGUCUGCAACCCGACUCCACGAAGCUGGAUUCGCUAGUAAUCGCGCAUCAGCCACGGCGCGGUGAAUACGUUCCCGGGCCUUGUACACACCGCCCGUCAAGCCAUGGGAGCCGGGGGUACCUGAAGUGCGUAACCGCGAGGAGCGCCCUAGGGUAAAACUGGUGACUGGGGCUAAGUCGU